AUGUAUUGUUUUGAUCAUCAUAUAACAAAGGCAAACUUUUUGUGAAAAGAAUUAAUCAUCACAAUGUCGUCUUCCAGUUGCGCUAUCUUUUGCAUCAUCUUCGUUUUGCUUUCUGGUCGUCUUGAAAGUAGAAACAUGGAGGGCCUUGAGGAAAGCAAGAUACAUUUACCAACGUGCUUUCCAUCAACUUGUCUACCUGGAGACUUUAAAUGUUAUUGCUGCAAUCUUGGAAAGGAGAUCAGAUUCUGUACACUUACCUACGAUAUAUGUGCGGAGGACUGUCAGGCCAAAGCAUAAUUAAUCAAGCAACCUCCUUCAAAGAUUCAAGAAUUAUGAAGAGCAUUAAAUACAUGUGUUCUUUGUGAGUCUGUAUGAGUAUGUAUGAUUAAUAAAAAUAUAAGUGACUCCAAUACUUAUGCCUAUUUUUUUCUCCAAAUGAUCUAAGCGAGAUCACGUCCUUUACUUUUGGAGUCUGAUGAUUUGAUUGCCUAACCAUAACUUACAAUCUCUAGAAUUUAGACUUUAGUUUCAUAGGACUACCAUAGUACAUUCACAAUGCAGUAUUACAUUCACUUGAUCUUUUAUCCGUGCGUAUGUUUGGUAUAAUUAAACUUUUAUUUAAUUAAUUAAUUUAUAUUUAUUUUAAUAAUCUUUAUUGUAAUUUGUAAAGUGAUUUUUUGCCUCCGACCUUUUUAUCUGUUAAAACAGAAGUUACCAUUUUUUUUUUACGUGAGAUUUUUUUUUUUUCAUAUGUUAAAACAGAAGUCAUCAUUUCUUUUUACGUGUGAUUUUUUAAAAGUGAACCGUCUAUUAGUCAAUAUAUCAUAUAUCAUCGUAUAAACAUAAACUGACCGGGAGCUUGUGGUCAAGUGGUACGGGAAGGGUUUGGGAUGUCACCACAUUUCAAGUUCGAUUCACCUACCAUGCGAAACUAAGUCACAUUUUCCUGGUCACAUACACGGAUAUGGGCUAUUGCAUUUCGGCCCAUUUGAAUACCCGGGAGAAAGUCUAUCCGUGGGCUACACCUCCCACUCGGGGGUUAGGUCUGUGUCUUUAAUAGACCCGGAUUUAACCCUUUUUUCGUCAAAAAAAAAAAAAAAACAUAAACUGCAUGCUUGGUUUAAUCAUGACUAACCAAAACUCACAUAUUGCUUCCAAAUCUAUUAAUAAAACAACCGUAAAAGGAAAAACAAAAAAUAGUUUAUCCAGAGCAAUUGAGAGACGAGGCAGAGAUUGUGGAAUCUGAAAACCAGUGGGAAUCAUUAUCAUCACCAUGCUCGUCAUAAGAACAUCAUAAGAAGCUUCGAUGCCCAAACCAUAAUCCAUAAAUUGAAGGAAACCCAAACGCCUAUCUCCAUGAGCGAUUCUGAGAAGAGAAGGUCAAAGAGAAUCUUCAAAGGAAGCAAAAUCUCGGCAUCAUGAAUCUCGCCUGAAACCUCAAAUCCGACGCCGAUCAGUCAAAAAACCGUUCGUCACCUAUACUCUAGCUCUGAAGUCGACUCAUCCGUUUCAUCAUUCGAGGCGAUCUUCCCGAUAAAAUCUCAAUUUCUCCGUCUCAGAUUCUCCAUUUUUCUUAAAUGAUAAGGGUUUUCAGUUUAAAUUAAGGUUUAUUAUUAGGGUUUACAGUUAAAGAGCAGCAAUUAAAGCAUGGUAUUAUCCCCAUAGCCAUACUACAUCCAUAUUGAGAUUCUACUCUCUCUUUUCUUCUAUCUUCGAGUCCUUUGGGUCUAAAGUUCAUGGAUUUUGAUUUUUCUUUUGUGUUUGGAGAUAUUUCUAUCGAUUUUUGUGGUGGACUUGGUCUCUUUUCUCAUAAGUGUGUUUGUAUGGUAAUAGUGGAUGCAUACAACUCUCAGCUUUACGAUAUCUAUAUUAUUUUUCUAUCCAAAGAUUAUCUCUUUGCCACAAAAAAAAAACGAUUGGGUGUAGAGACUAGAGAGAGAGAUUAACUUUCCUUUGAUUGUGAGACACUAGAGCUGAAACUGACUGAUGUGUACUCUGUUUCUUAGCUUCACACUGAAGAUUCAUGUAUGAAGCUUCGAAUUCUGAUUUUGAUUCUGUACUUAUGUCUUAAGAUUCUGAUUAAUGAAGUGUUGCAAUGAUUACUUGAUGUUUCUGUGAUUAUACCUUGAAUUCACAAUAAUUAGACAAUGAAAAAAGCAAUAAGAAAUAUGUGGCAUAAAACUGGUUAUGCUUUGUAUUUGUGGUUAAGAACCUCAUUUGUUAUUUGGGUCUGUGUGUGUGUGUUUAUGUUAGAAAGAUGCUGAUUAUGAAGAUUAGUUUUGUCAGCCACGAUUUCGAUUUGGUUUUAAGCCCUGAAGAAAGGAUUGAAAGUAGCUACCAAGAAGACAAUAUCAUCUCAGUUUGUUUUUAAGUUUUUUUGUACAUUCGCAAAGUUUUAUGGGUUUUACUUUUCUUUUUUUUUUGCUAACCGAGUAUCCUGGCCCCACCGAAAUGGUCCAGACUAGAGACCGAAGCGAGCAUGGACGCUGCCAGGGCGUCACCAUGUGGCUCACCGUGUAACGGUCUUCGGUCUCGGGUACUGCAGCCCACAUGUAAAUUUCGCAAUGGCUAAGGCUCGAACCCAGGGGCGGACACUCCAGCUGGAGCUCUAGGUUUUACUUUUCUUAAGUUUCUGUUAUGUUUUUGAUAUUUUCAGGAGAGUAACGAACCCUCUAUUUGAGAGAAGACCUGAGCAAUUUGGUAUCGGUGGACCUCUUCCUCCCAAGAAGGAUCUUACUUACUACUUCAAAUGAUCAAAGGCAGUCCAUCUUCAAAGGCAGAAGACGAUCCUUACAGAGGUUGAAGGUCCCACCAGCGAUCAAUCAGCUCACUAAGACUCGACAAGUAUCUUGAUAAAGUCUAUUACAUAAUUUCAAUAUUGAUUUUAAAAUUGUUUAUUGCAUAAUUUCACUAUAUUAGUUGUAUCUGCUGAUUGAAACUAACAGAAUAUUGCACUGAUGUAUCAAUGAACAUGCUCUUUGUGUUUGUGGAACC